rnacentral:rRNA from 1 species
CACGUAGGGCGCAAGCGUUGUCCGGAAUUAUUGGGCGUAAAGAGCUCGUAGGCGGUUUGUCGCGUCGAAUGUGAAAACCCGGGGCUCAACUCCGGGCCUGCAUUCGAUACGGGCAGACUAGAGUUCGGUAGGGGAGACUGGAAUUCCUGGUGUAGCGGUGAAAUGCGCAGAUAUCAGGAGGAACACCGGUGGCGAAGGCGGGUCUCUGGGCCGAUACUGACGCUGAGGAGCGAAAGCGUGGGGAGCAAACAGG